rnacentral:tRNA from 1 species
GGAGGCUUUAGCUUAAUUAAAGUGUCUGAGUUGCAUUCAGGAGAUGUACAUUAGGGUUGUGCAGGUCUUC